CUAAUACAUGCAAGUCGAGCGGACAGAUGGGAGCUUGCUCCCUGAUGUUAGCGGCGGACGGGUGAGUAACACGUGGGUAACCUGCCUGUAAGACUGGGAUAACUCCGGGAAACCGGGGCUAAUACCGGAUGGUUGUUUGAACCGCAUGGUUCAAACAUAAAAGGUGGCUUCGGCUACCACUUACAGAUGGACCCGCGGCGCAUUAGCUAGUUGGUGAGGUAACGGCUCACCAAGGCAACGAUGCGUAGCCGACCUGAGAGGGUGAUCGGCCACACUGGGACUGAGACACGGCCCAGACUCCUACGGGAGGCAGCAGUAGGGAAUCUUCCGCAAUGGACGAAAGUCUGACGGAGCAACGCCGCGUGAGUGAUGAAGGUUUUCGGAUCGUAAAGCUCUGUUGUUAGGGAAGAACAAGUACCGUUCGAAUAGGGCGGUACCUUGACGGUACCUAACCAGAAAGCCACGGCUAACUACGUGCCAGCAGCCGCGGGUAAUACGUAG
rnacentral:rRNA from 1 species